UAAUACGUAGGACCCGAGCGUUGUCCGGAUUUACUGGGUAUAAAGGGUGCGCAGGCGGCCGUGUGCGUCAGAGGUGAAAUCUCCGGGCUUAACCCGGAGGGUGCCUUUGAUACGGCAUGGCUUGAGUCCGAGAGAGGGUGAUGGAAUUCCUGGUGUAGCAGUGAAAUGCGUAGAUAUCAGGAGGAACACCGGUGGCGAAGGCGGUCACCUGGCUCGGCACUGACGCUCAGGCACGAAAGCGCGGGGAUCAAACAGGAUUAGAUACCCUGGUAGUCCGCGCCCUAAACGAUGUAUGCUUGGUGUUGGGUUUUUCGGAACUCAGUGCCGUAGGGAAUCCGGUAAGCAUACCACCUGGGGAGUACGAUCGCAAGGUUGAAACUUAAAUGAAUUGACGG
rnacentral:rRNA from 1 species